AAUGUAUGAUUUUAAAACAUACCAUCUAAUAUAAGUAUUCAUUGUAUGUUAUAUCAAAGUUUUGAAGUUCACAGUAUAGAUAAAAAUAAAUGGUAUAGAUGGAGAUGUGAGGGUAGACGGGGACGAGACAGAGCCCGAAAAAGCCUAGUCAAUACUUGGGUUGCAAAGUUGACAGAAAGAGUACAACUUGUAGUUGUCAGUUGUUGGGUGGAAAGUUAGUCAAUUGGACUAGUAAGAAGCAACACUCGGUGUCCAUCUCAACAACUGAGGCUAAAUAUGUUGCUGAAGUGCCAUUGUUAUUGCCAACAAUCCAGUUCUUCACUCUCGUACAAGCAUAUUGAUAUUCGAUAUCACUUUAUCAUAGAUCAUGUGAUGAAAGAGGAACUAGAGGAACUGGGACUCCAUUGUUUAACCUUUGAAGGGUUAAAAUGUUUUAAAAACUGUGGAUCCAUGAUGGGAUUGAACUGUUGAGGCUGUAGACAACUGUGCUGUGCAUUGAUGGCAGAAAGCAUCAAUUUAUUCUCUGUAUUCUCUUUGUCACAUUCUUGUCUUCGUCUGAAGAAAGACUCAUAAAAGAUGAUAUACUGUGUUUUGGCUGUAUGGGUUGUAUCACCUUUCUUUUUCCUUUAUCUAAUUCGUGUGUUAAGAAAUUAGUGAGUAACUUAACUGCUUCGUUUUCUAUAACAGAU